CACGCCGUAAACGAUGAGUACUAGGUGUUGCGGGUAUUGACCCCUGCAGUGCCGCAGCUAACGCAUUAAGUACUCCGCCUGGGAANACGCGCAGAACCUUACCUGGGCUUGACAUCUACGGAACCUCUAUGAAAGUAGAGGGUGCCCUUCGGGGAGCCGUAAGACAGGUGC
rnacentral:rRNA from 1 species